GCUGGCGCGGCGGCCACGGGCGCCCAGCGCGCCUUCUCGGCGCCUGGAGCCAGACGCGAGUAAUCCUGGGUGGCCCGCAGCGGAGCCGUGGCCGGGCUAGAGGAGCCGGCUGGACUGCGGGAGUGCCGGGCGGCUCGCGGUGUCCGCCUCGGGCUGCUCCCCUGCGCUGCGUUCUCGCGGCCCCGCGCCGGCGCUGCGCUCUGCGAUGCGAGCCGCUGCGUGUCCAGCCGGGGCUCUGGCGAGGAAACUCACUUCAAAAGCAGCUGCACCAAGGGGGAGAUUAAAGCCUUUGCCGCCUUCCAAUCAAAUGGGAGCCCGAGGUGAUUGGAGGGUCAAGGGGAUGUGACGCGUCCCGCGCCGCCGCCGCCGCCGCUGCCAGGACUCUCAGUGCCGGUUUUAAUGGGCAGCUCCCUCUUCGCCGCCCCCCUGUGUGUCCCCUCCCUCGAUUUCGCUGGGAGGACGAGAUGGACAUUUAUUCUACGUUUGCCAUCCGCCGCCUCCCUCUUUUUUCCUCCUCGUCGUUCUUCCUUUCCCCAGCUCGAAAAUAAACUGAAACCUUCUUUUGAAGGGGGGUGCGCGUGAGGAACAGACUGCGGGGGGUGUCCAGAAGGAGCACCGGUGGGAGUGUGGACACCGGCCGGACUGUCAACUCCAGGGGCGAAGGGAACCUGCACACCCAGUGUUUUUUCCUUCGCAGUAAUCGAGAUCCCGCGCGGCGCAGCGCAGCCACCAGGAAUCGACGGGAUUUCUCUGGCUGUCGUUUGCGCUGCAUUUAUCCGAAUACAUCCAGCUCGCAGGCAUCCUGCAAGAAACGGCUCCCGGCUCGCGUGUACGCCGACACCUCGGCCCAACGCAGGACUCGAGGUGGUUUCUAGUGCCCGGGUGGCUGCAAGUCUGCCCUCCGAGGGAGGCUGGACAAGCGGCGCCCCCAGGUCGAGCGGCCUCUCGCUGCCUGGCAGUGCCUGGCAGCCCCCACCUCUGCCAGUGCUUCGGAAACCCGCCUGGCCAGGUUCGCCCGCGGUGAAAAAUGAAAGCAAAUUCCCCAACAGAGGUAGCCGGAACUUUCCUCGACGAAGGCUCCCUCCUGCGCCUGUGUCUGGAGAACCCCCAGAGCGCUGCAAGUUAGCAAGAGAGAUUCGAUGGCGGCUCUGGAAGGCGCACGAAGGGUGGGGCGGGGGAGCAAAGAGGCCACUGGGUGACCCAGCCUGGUCCGGGGUGAAACGCUAGAGAAGGCGCCUCGCCUUCCUUAUUUCAAUGCAACUCCUCGGCCCCAGACGGUAAAAAUAGUUUCCAAGCUGCCGCGGACGCCCAGGAUGUGUUUGCAGAGAUCAAACUGGGGAGGAGGCAGCUUUGUAAAAGUUGCAGAAAGAUUAGCCGAGAAGCGUCCGCCCGGCGGGGCUCAAGAAAGCUUGGGGACAGCUCCAUGUUCCUUGGGGCGGAAUGGCCCAAGAAUUGGCCUGGGUAACCCCCUGCCCAGUUCUCUGUCCUCACUUCGAGCCAGUGCUUAAAUAACUUCCCGCCGCCUGCCCUGCAAACUUCCCGGCGCGGCGCCGUUGAGGCCAGGACACAGCAAAGGCUAGCAAAACCCCGCCGCGGCGCGCUCGGCCCCGGCCCUGAGAGGCUGCGCGGGUGGGAGGACCAGUGUGGUUUCUGCUCCCACUCGGCUGCCCAGACCCUCAAGACCGAUCCCCCAACUCCUGGGAGCGGGUGCUUCCCUCUGGGAGCCGAGAUCUUGCGGGGCCAGCGAGGGCGCAAAGUGCGCGCGCUGGCCCGCGCGGGGGCGGCCGCGCGUCUCUCCGCGGGGCCUGUCGCCAGGCCGGCCGCGGCGCGUGAGUGAUGAGGGCAGAGAAGGGCGCCCAUAAAUCGCGGGUGUCAGGGCGAAAAACUCUCUUUAUUGUCUGCGUGAUGGAUGGGCCCGGGGACGAGACACCAAAUACUUCGUAUCGCCUUUAAAUGGGAACACAUUUUCCGCGGCCAUAAUUCAUGUUUUUUAAAUAGAAAGUUUGAAAUGUUGCCUAUAUUUCACCAGCCCUGACAUAUUUAUGAAUCGCUCCCUGCAUGCAAAUAUCAUUACUUAAAGCGCCGGGGAGAGCGCGGGGGAGGGGAGGAGGCGCGGUUCCCGGGGCGUGGGGGUGGUGAACCGGGGAAAUAUCGGUGGAGGGGGGCCAUCUCCCUAAAGGGCAGAGGGUGAGGUGCGGUGAAUAGCCGUAUCCGGAAACCGAGCGUGCCCCGGGCUUCUUUCCCGCCGCCAGACCCCGCACAGCCGCCCUGGGACGUUUUUCGAGGCUUGGGACCUAAGACGGGUCCCCGGACCCUGCUGGGAAACCAGGGGGCGUUUUUCGUCCCUCUCUGAGGCCAUUAUCCAAGCUGAAACCACCUUUUAUAAGAAAAAAGUUUAAAGAAAAAAAAUUUAACAAACACAAAUAAUAAUAAUAACCCAACAUGUUUCGCGUUCUUUGCCA
rnacentral:lncRNA from 10 species